CAGAAAGAACGUCCGCCCAGCUGAAACCUUCACUGAACACACCAAGGGGAGGACCCAUCAAAAACAGAACCGAUCACCAUCUUGGGUCCUUCAUUCAGAAACAAACAAUGCUGGACCACUCAAGCAAAUUCGCCAGCAGGGACAGAUCGUUCUACCGGAUAAGGAUGGCAUCGCGAAGAUGACCGCUAGUGAAGCGUUCAGCA